rnacentral:rRNA from 1 species
GAUGAACGCUAGCGGCAGGCUUAACACAUGCAAGUCGAGGGGUAUAGUUCUUCGGAAUUAGAGACCGGCGCACGGGUGCGUAACGCGUAUGCAAUCUACCUUUCACAGAGGGAUAGCCCAGAGAAAUUUGGAUUAAUACCUCAUAGUAUAAUACCUUGGCAUCAAGGAAUUAUUAAAGUCACAACGGUGAAAGAUGAGCAUGCGUCCCAUUAGCUAGUUGGUAAGGUAACGGCUUACCAAGGCGACGAUGGGUAGGGGUCCUGAGAGGGAGAUCCCCCACACUGGUACUGAGACACGGACCAGACUCCUACGGGAGGCAGCAGUGAGGAAUAUUGGACAAUGGGCGCAAGCCUGAUCCAGCCAUGCCGCGUGCAGGAUGAAGCAUCUAUGGUGUGUAAACUGCUUUUGUACGAGAAGAAACACUCCUUCGUGAAGGGGCUUGACGGUAUCGUAAGAAUAAGGNUCGGCUAACUCCGUGCCAGCAGCCG